GAUGAACGCUGGCGGCGUGCUUAACACAUGCAAGUCGAACGGAAAGGCCCUGCUUUUGCGGGGUGCUCGUUUGGCGAACGGGUGAGUAACACGUGAGUAUCCUGCCCUUGACUUUGGGAUAACUUCAGGAAACUGGGGCUAAUACCGGAUAGGAUCUCCUGCUGCAUGGUGGGGGUUGGAAAGAUUCGGCGGUUGGGGAUGGACUCGCGGCUUAUCAGCUUGUUGGUGGGGUAGUGGCUUACCAAGGCUGUGACGGGUAGCCGGCCUGAGAGGGUGACCGGCCACAAUGGUACUGAGAUACGGACCAGACUCCUAUGGGAGGCAGCAGUGGAGAAUAUGACACAACGGGCGGAAGCCUGAUGCAGCAGCGCCGCGUGCGGGAUGAUGGCCUUCGGGUUGUAAACCGCUUUCGCCUGUGACGAAGCGUGCGUGACGGUAAUGGGUAAAGAAGCACCGGCUAACUACGUG
rnacentral:rRNA from 1 species